CUCUUUGGUGAUCUGUGUCGUGUGGUGCGGCGUCUUCCAGUCUUACACUAAGUCGCCACCAAGUCGGCCACCACCGACCUAACACUUCUUCCUUAUUUUUCUCCUAGCUUAUCAUUCCAUUGUUGGAAACUGGGUAUUUGAACAACGUGGGGCAGAGGCGGUGUUACUGCUGUUGACCUGUGACGAGUCCUUGCUUCCCCAAUGUUGAAGAAUAACACCAGAGAAGCACACCAAGGCAAGGUCAGAGUGGAAAUUAGAAGUUUAUUAAAGGACAGCAGAAAAGACUUCUCCCGGAGGAAGAAGGGGACCCAAGAGGUGGAAUCCGUGGAAGUGUGGUUGUUUUCCCUUUUUAUAGUUCUGGUGAUGGAAUGUAGGGGGGAAGGAUUGGGACACAGGUGGGCCAAACAAGUAAUCCAGGCAGGAAGGACUUCAUUAACACUUCUUUGGGAUGGGCUAUCUCCAAAUCUGUUGGGGGCUGUUUCCUGGGCUCCAUUAACAUUCCUUUGGGAUGAACUUUGGGCCUAGGGGCUUUUCUUCAUUAACAUUCCAUGAGUUGUCCUGCGCUUCCGGAAUCAUUGUCAGCAUGGCCUCCAUUUUAGAUUUCAUUCGAUAUUAGACCGGAUUUACCUAACUACACUGACUACCUAAUUUUAAAUCUGGCUUCAGCUGGUGCUGGGUGGCCCACCCCCCAGUCCUCUCCCAGCUUAGUGCUUUUCCACUUGUGGGGUGACUGGCCCGGCUGUCCAGUGCUGCCGAGGCAGCCUCCUCAUGCCAUAUGCAGGCUCUUUUCUCUCAGCAAAGCCUGGACAUAAAUGGCUUCAUAGUGGAACCCAAGGUCGGGCUGGAGGUGUUUUGGGGGGCCUCUUCACGACUCUUUGGCCCCAUUUUUUCCAGCAACCUAGGGGCUGACGGUGCAGUCCCCAUCUCCAGUGACUCUGUGGACCCAGUGUAGAGGCAGAAGGACCUCACUCGGGGUCUUGAGAAUCCUAAUCCCAGACACAGAUGUAGAUACUUUUAGAUCAGUGUUGGAAGGAGGCCGUGAGGCGGGGCUUAGAGCAAACUGUUGCUCUUUACCAGGUAGUAAAUAUUCCUUCGGGGGAAAUUCUGCUGGAGCUGAGAACAGGUGCAGGGGCCUCGGGACUGCAGAAACUGAAGGAAAGAGUGUAACACGUAGUGAAAACGUCCAUGGAGGCCGAGAGUGCAUGAUCUGGACGGGUCUGGAGGCCUGGGCACUGCAUGCUUGGCUACCUGCUCCCCAGUCCAGGUAGCGGCAGGCCCUUUCCCCUGAGCCUCCGCAUCCCCUGAGGAGGCUCCCUGUGCUGCUUUCACUCUAGUUUUCCUUCUGUUCCCCGGGAUCUGCCUUCCACAGGACUCCCGCUAUGUUGGAGAGCAAGCUGGGCCUCGCGCCUGGGUCUGGAGUCCUCUGCUAGCAGGCUUCUCUCAAUCUGGCUGGGAGCUGGCAUCCCCCUCUGGAGAUGAGCACUCAGUGCCCGGGGAAGUGGCAGCCUCCGUCUCCUCUCUUGGCCCUCCUGAGGAACUCAUGACCUCCUGGGCUGGCCCCUGCAUUCCCAGUCCCACUGUGGGGGCGGAGGGGCUGCCCUCGCCUGGAGCUGCCUCAUCAGCAGGUGGCUGGGCAAGACCAGCAAGGCCACCCCUGCGGGAGGACGUGAGGACACGUACACAGGGAGAGUCUGUGCUCCUGGCUGGGCCACCCGAGGGGAGCUUCCACCCUUGCCUGGGGGGCAGGGAGGAGCUGGCCUUGGUGCAAAUACCACAGACUCUUUGCAGUUCUCCGUGAGUUUCAGUCA
rnacentral:lncRNA from 1 species